AUGUGAAGCCCAAUGCUUCAAGAUGAAGACCUAAGCCUUCACUAGAGCACACAAGGAGAAAACACUCUGAAGAAGAACGAAGGCACGAACCAGUGAAGAACUUGGACACGCGCAAACCGAAGAAGAAGCUUCAUGAAUCUAUGAAGCUUAUCACCCCCCUCAAGUUAAGCAUGGUCAAUUUGAAGAUUGAGCAUGAUUAACUUGUCGGUAAGAGUUCGAAGGCGAUGAGUAGGAACUGCUUUGGUUAAAAUGUCGCCUAGUUGCUCAUCAGUCUUCAGGUGUUGGCAAGAUACCAGAAGAGUUUCCAGACAUCAGAUUGGAGUAAGUUGCAACAGAUUGAUUGAUGGUAGAAUUGAGAGCUUUAGCACUCUUCAAAAUCUAUGAAAUCUCUUCCAGUGUAGUUGAUGAAGAUAUGUUAUACUCACCAGCCGAAACUUGCGAGUCAUCAUCAUAGCAUGAAGCUAUAGAUUGUAAUACUUCAGCAAUUGUAGUUGUUGGAGUCAUAUUUGUUCCACUUGCAGGAAUCGAUGUAGCCACCUGCUCCGAUACCAUGACUUUGAAUAGUUGUAGAAAUUAGAAAGAGUAGAAGAAGAAUAGAGAUUGAAGAAGUAGAACAACAAUAUUAUUCAUUGCUCUAAUUUCUUACAACGGCUAUAGCCCAUUUAGACAAA